UCUUUCACCUCCUUUGAUUUAUCCUUCUUUUUCUUCUUCUUGGCAGUUUUGGACUCUCCAGAGGCACUUUCCUUCUUUUCGCCCUCUGCAUUGUGCUCUGCAUCUUUUCUUUCUUGAGCAGCAUCACGCGACUGAUCUGGGCCAUUGCUAUCCUUCUGGCUAACUCCAAAAUCAGCCAAAAGGGCCUCUAGCUCUUCAAGUUCCUUCUUCUUCCUUUCCUUCUUUGAAAGUUGCCU
rnacentral:misc_RNA from 1 species